CCGUCGUCAGUUCGUACUGUGAAGCAUCCUGUUAAGUCAGGCAACGAGCGAGACCCACGCCAACAGUUGCCUAGCUCGUCCUCCGGGAUGGUGGGGACACUGUUGGGACCGCCGUCUGCUAAAGAGGAGGAAGGAAUGGGCAACGGUAGGUCAGCAUGCCCCGAAUUAUCUGGGCUACACGCGGGCUACAAUGGGUGGGACAAUGGGUAUCGACACCGAAAGGUGAAGGCAAUCUCCUAAACCCAUCCGUAGUUCGGAUUGUGGGCUGCAACUCGCCCACAUGAAGCUGGAAUCCGUAGUAAUCGCGUUUCAACAGAACGCGGUGAAUACGUCCCUGCUCCUU
rnacentral:rRNA from 1 species